GCGGAAUAGCUUGUGUCUUGUGUGCCGUUUAAUUUAAUUUUAUGUUGCCUGCUCUACUACUGCAUAUUAAAUCUGCGUAGAUACUACUUUUAAAUGUAUAACGGUGCGCCGUAACCUCGAUCCGUCCCAAGAUGGCCGCUUAUCGCCGCCAUAUUGUUUGCAGAGCGCCGGCGCGCGCUGCGCAAGAGACUCUUCUAUUCCCAUCUUCAACCGCAUAUUUACCUCAUCCAGUAUAAGACCUCAAGACCUGUAUAAAAUAGACUGAAACAAAAAUACAUUUUAGAUUGGUUUGUGAGAGCAGUAAACCGAUGGAAAUGAGUUGAGACCUGUUUUGUAUAAGGUCUCCUUGCGCCUACUUUUAUGCUAAUAAGAACUUUGGGAUUAUUCCGUUUGCGUAAUUGUGGAUUUUAUUUGGAUUUUCGAUGUCUAUAAAAAAGGAUAAAAAAAUAGUUUUUUGAGAUUUUGAUAUUUUAAUUCUGUGAGAACUGUUUGAACGGUUUGCAGGUAACCUACUUUGUAACAUGAUACGAGUACCUAAGUAUAUGCAUUCUCUGUAGUUCGAUUAUAUCGAAAACUUUUAUGAAUUAAGGCUAUGCUAUGCGGCCUUCGUGUAGACAUCAUCAAACUAAUUUUCUUACUUUCGUGUUCGGUCCUUUUGUUAGUCCUUAGUCAUGCACUAACCGUCUACUUCUGAAAAACUGCACCUGUACAUCCUCAAUAUGGGUGUAUACUUUUGUAUUGUCUAUAGAAAUAAGUGUAACAAAAUACUAGCCCGAAUAACUACUAGUUAUUGGUAGAUGAUCGUUUAGCAAACAGAAGAAACGUAGAUACUGUAUCAUAAAAGUAUGUAGAUAGGUAGAUAGGUACCUACCUACACUUACUUUAACCAUAUCGUGUUGUCACACAGUAUGUAAAUUGUGUUCAACCCUUUUUAA